AGUUUGAUCCUGGCUCAGGAUGAACGCUAGCUACAGGCUUAACACAUGCAAGUCGAGGGGCAGCAUUUUAGUUUGCUUGCAAACUAAAGAUGGCGACCGGCGCACGGGUGAGUAACACGUAUCCAACCUGCCGAUAACUCGGGGAUAGCCUUUCGAAAGAAAGAUUAAUAUCCGAUAGUAUAUUAAAACCGCAUGGUUUUACUAUUAAAGAAUUUCGGUUAUCGAUGGGGAUGCGUUCCAUUAGUUUGUUGGCGGGGUAACGGCCCACCAAGACUACGAUGGAUAGGGGUUCUGAGAGGAAGGUCCCCCACAUUGGAACUGAGACACGGUCCAAACUCCUACGGGAGGCAGCAGUGAGGAAUAUUGGUCAAUGGACGAGAGUCUGAACCAGCCAAGUAGCGUGAAGGAUGACUGCCCUAUGGGUUGUAAACUUCUUUUAUAUGGGAAUAAAGUAUUCCACGUGUGGGAUUUUGUAUGUACCAUAUGAAUAAGGAUCGGCUAACUCCGUGCCAGCAGCCGCGGUAAUACGGAGGAUCCGAGCGUUAUCCGGAUUUAUUGGGUUUAAAGGGAGCGUAGGUGGAUUGUUAAGUCAGUUGUGAAAGUUUGCGGCUCAACCGUAAAAUUGCAGUUGAAACUGGCAGUCUUGAGUACAGUAGAGGUGGGCGGAAUUCGUGGUGUAGCGGUGAAAUGCUUAGAUAUCACGAAGAACUCCGAUUGCGAAGGCAGCUCACUAGACUGCAACUGACAUUGAUGCUCGAAAGUGUGGGUAUCAAACAGGAUUAGAUACCCUGGUAGUCCACACAGUAAACGAUGAAUACUCGCUGUUUGCGAUAUACAGUAAGCGGCCAAGCGAAAGCAUUAAGUAUUCCACCUGGGGAGUACGCCGGCAACGGUGAAACUCAAAGGAAUUGACGGGGGCCCGCACAAGCGGAGGAACAUGUGGUUUAAUUCGAUGAUACGCGAGGAACCUUACCCGGGCUUAAAUUGCAUUUGAAUAAUCUGGAAACAGGUUAGCCGCAAGGCAAAUGUGAAGGUGCUGCAUGGUUGUCGUCAGCUCGUGCCGUGAGGUGUCGGCUUAAGUGCCAUAACGAGCGCAACCCUUAUCUUUAGUUACUAACAGGUCAUGCUGAGGACUCUAGAGAGACUGCCGUCGUAAGAUGUGAGGAAGGUGGGGAUGACGUCAAAUCAGCACGGCCCUUACGUCCGGGGCUACACACGUGUUACAAUGGGGGGUACAGAAGGCAGCUACCUGGCGACAGGAUGCUAAUCCCAAAAACCUCUCUCAGUUCGGAUCGAAGUCUGCAACCCGACUUCGUGAAGCUGGAUUCGCUAGUAAUCGCGCAUCAGCCAUGGCGCGGUGAAUACGUUCCCGGGCCUUGUACACACCGCCCGUC
rnacentral:rRNA from 1 species